UGAUAAACAACAGACAAUACAGAGGGAAGUUGGAGAGAUCUGUGGUGCUUAAGGCCCUUUGCUCAGGGUUCCGCGAGACGACUGAGCCACCCAUAUGCUUAACCGAAGACAUAGAAACCAAUGAGUGUUUACAAAACAAUGGAGGGUGUUGGGAGGAUAAGACUACCAACAUUACAGCUUGCAUGGUGUGUAAGAUAUCUUAACGAAUUUUUCUUGUUUUGUUAUAGUUAUGCUACAUAUCUACGUAUAUGUUUCAGUAAAAGGAGUAUCAUUCUUGCAGGACACUUUCAGAGGAAGAGUAUGUCAAUGUCCCAUUGUUGAAGGUGUCAAGUUUUUGGGUGAUGGUUACACACAUUGGGAAGGUAAAAAAAUGCUCAAAUGUAUGUUAUCAUUAACUUGAUGAUAUUUUUCACAUGUAAAUUUGGAUAUUGCAGCGUCAGGGGCAUUGCGUUGUGGUAUAAACAAUGGUGGAUGCUGGAAACAUACCCAAAUGGGAAGAACAUAUUCGGCUUGCCGUGUAAUAUGUCCAUACCUCAAAACAUUCCAUCCUCUGUUUAAAUAUUCCCUCUCUUUCUAUAUAUUUGACUUACAAUGAUUGUUUCUUACGUUUUAUUUUUGUUGUUGUUGCUGUUGUUCAGGAUGAUCAUUCGAAAGGCUGCAAAUGUCCACCUGGAUUCAAGAGAGAUGGGCUGAAAAACUGCGAAGGUAUUCUUUGGAUAGAUUAUACAUAUGAAAUAUAAGAGCUUGAGCUAAAAACUAACCCCCCCCCCCCCCCCCACAUGUUGUUAAUGUGUUAUAAAUACAGAUGUGAAUGAGUGUGAAGAGAAAACAGCGUGCCAGUGUCGCGGCUGCAAAUGCAAGAACACAUGGGGAAGCUAUGAAUGCAGCUGCAGUGGAAGCCUGCUUUACAUCAGAGAGCACGAUAUUUGCAUAAGUAAGGAUGCAAGAGGAGACGUAAGCUGGGGGGUGAUAUGGAUAAUACUAAUGGGUUUGGGAGAAGCUGCUUUAGGAGCUUACACGGUUUACAAAUACAGAAUCCGGGUAUGCUUAUUAGAACAUACUUGUUCAAUAUUUGAUUAGAGUUAUAUAUAUAUAUAUAUAUAUAUAUAUAUAUAUAUAUAUAUAUAUAUAAUAUUAUUUGAGAAGUCAGUUUCUUAUGUGUCGCGCUCACGUGAUGGUUGAUUAUCCUGAUACCCUUAAUGAAUUAAAAUUAUUACAUUUAAAUACUAUUAUUGAAAUUUUUAUAUAUUUUCCUUUUUAUAAUUUUCCAAAUAACAUAUAUAAUAAAAAAAGAAAAAUUUAUAAAGUUUUAAAAGCAAAUUUAAAAACAAAAAUAUAUAUAUAUAAAAUAAUAUUAUUUGAGAAGUCAGUUUCUUAUGUGUCGUGCUCGCGUUAACUCUCACGAUGGUUGAUUACCCUGAUACCCUUAAUGAAUUAAAACUAUUACAUUUAAAUACUAUUAUUGAAAUUUUUAUAUAUUUUCCUUUU